GGCCAGGUAGCUCAGUUGGUAGAGCACUGGAUAUGGGCACCCCCUAAGUCCAGGUGUCGGCGGUUCGAUUCCGCCCCUGGCCACCA
rnacentral:tRNA from 1 species